rnacentral:tRNA from 1 species
GGCGUUAGCUCAGUUGGUAGAGCAGCGGACUCUUAAUCCGUAGGUCGAGUGUUCGAGUCACUCACGCCCCACCA